rnacentral:rRNA from 1 species
UACGGAGGGUGCGAGCGUUGUCCGGAAUCAUUGGGCGUAAAGGGCGCGUAGGUGGCCCGGUCAGUUCGUGGUGAAAGCGCGGGGCUCAACUCCGCGUCGGCCAUGAAUACUGCUGGGCUUGAGCACUGUAGAGGCAGGCGGAAUUCCGGGUGUAGCGGUGGAAUGCGUAGAGAUCCGGAAGAACACCGGUGGCGAAGGCGGCCUGCUGGGCAGUGGCUGGACACUGAGGCGCGACAGCGUGGGGAGCA